rnacentral:sRNA from 1 species
UCGCCGAAAAGCGAGGCCCCGGAUAGG